rnacentral:rRNA from 1 species
AUGCAAGUCGAACGGAUCCUUCGGGAUUAGUGGCAGACGGGUGAGUAACGCGUGGGAAGCUACCUUGUGGUAGGGAACAACAGUUGGAAACGACUGCUAAUACCCUAUGAGCCCUAUGGGGGAAAGAUUUAUCGCCAUGAGAUGUGCCCGCGUUAGAUUAGCUAGUUGGUAAGGUAAUGGCUUACCAAGGCGACGAUCUAUAGCUGGUCUGAGAGGAUGAUCAGCCACACUGGGACUGAGACACGGCCCAGACUCCUACGGGAGGCAGCAGUGGGGAAUAUUGGACAAUGGGGGCAACCCUGAUCCAGCCAUGCCGCGUGAGUGAUGACGGCCUUAGGGUUGUAAAGCUCUUUCAGCAGUGAAGAUAAUGACAUUAACUGCAGAAGAAGCCCCGGCUAACUUCGUGCCAGCAGCCGCGGUAAUACGAAGGGGGCUAGCGUUGUUCGGAAUCACUGGGCGUAAAGCGUACGUAGGCGGACUGAUCAGUCAGGGGUGAAAUCCCGGGGCUCAACCCCGGAACUGCCUUUGAUACUGUCAGUCUUGAGAUCGAGAGAGGUGAGUGGAACUCCGAGUGUAGAGGUGAAAUUCGUAGAUAUUCGGAAGAACACCAGUGGCGAAGGCGGCUCACUGGCUCGAUACUGACGCUGAGG